GACACAUCUUGGAGACUGGAGUACUGCUGGCCAUGUAAAGACAUUAGACCAGGACACAUCUUGGAGACUGGAGUACUGCUGGCUAUGUAAAGACGUUGUGUCUUCUUUACCUUCUGGGCUGAUCCCUGCCCCCAAGUUGGGAGACUGAGGCAAUCCACCAUGCUGGUCCCCUCUGCUGAUGGCAUCAUUUCCCUCAAUCCCAGGAAGGAUUGAGGAAGUGACAAGGACUUGGAUGCCCUCAUAGGAGAUAUGUACAUCAAGACACAGGAAAUAAACCCAGCAAAGAUUCAGGAGCCGGCACACCUGUGACACGCUUAGAGGUCUUGCCCACUGAGUUUCCAACCAUGGAGGAAGAAGUAUCGUGCUUGGUUCCCAGACCAUGGCACGGAACCAUCCACACUGGUGGGCGAGACUGUUGGGAAGGUCAAGACGUCAUGAUGCUUCCGAAUCCAGUGGUGCCACUGUAGAGCUCUCGGCAGAGCAAAGGGGAGCUCCUGGCAGACUCUGAAGCCCUGCUGUUGGAUUUCCUUCCCAGACCCCAUGUGCAACCUGACACAGAACAGCUGUGGAUGUCCUCAGGGUCAUUUCCCCCAAAUACCAAACGGGUCCCUGCAGAUGCCACAGACCUGGGGCUUGCCUGUGUUUUUUGGCAUUUCUUCAUCACCCCCUCGGUGUGGGGCAAGACUUGGCUGGGCCCACAGCCAGCAAUAAA